AUUGAACGCUGGCGGCAGGCCUAACACAUGCAAGUCGAACGGUAACAGGAAGCAGCUUGCUGCUUUGCUGACGAGUGGCGGACGGGUGAGUAAUGUCUGGGAAACUGCCCGAUGGAGGGGGAUAACUACUGGAAACGGUAGCUAAUACCGCAUAACGUCGCACGACCAAAGAGGGGGACCUUAGGGCCUCUUGCCAUCGGAUGUGCCCGGAUGGGAUUAGCUAGUAGGUGGGGUAACGGCUCACCUAGGCGACGAUCCCUAGCUGGUCUGAGAGGAUGACCAGCCACACUGGAACUGAGACACGGUCCAGACUCCUACGGGAGGCAGCAGUGGGGAAUAUUGCACAAUGGGCGCAAGCCUGAUGCAGCCAUGCCGCGUGUAUGAAGAAGGCCUUCGGGUUGUAAAGUACUUUCAGCGGGGAGGAAGGGAGUAAAGUUAAUACCUUGGCUGAUGGACGUUACCGGCAGAAGAAGCACCGGCUAACUCCGUG
rnacentral:rRNA from 1 species